rnacentral:rRNA from 1 species
AUGCAUUUGAAAGGGACUUCUGCCAGCUCAAGCCGUAUUACAUGGACACAUGUCGCAGUUAAGUUAAACGAGAAGGGAUACGAUUACCUGUCAAUAAACGACGCGAAGCAGAUGUUUAUGUUCAGCUCCGACAAGGAACUGCAGCAGUACAUCGCAGAGGAGCACCCCGAGUGGGACGUCAAGGGCGGCCGGGUCUUGCUCCAGAAGGCGAAGGAGUCGCAGCCCUGCAAGGAGAUCCCGGCGGCGCCGGUCAUCAACCAGACCCUCGGCUACGCGAGGGAGCUGGAGAGGAUUGUGUGA